rnacentral:rRNA from 1 species
AAAGUCCCGCAAGGGAUUAGUAGAGUGGCAAACGGGUGAGUAACACGUGGGUGACCUGCCUUCGAGUGGGGGAUAACGUCCCGAAAGGGACGCUAAUACCGCAUGACAUCCUGCCUUUGAAGAGGUGGAGCUUAAAGCCGGGGAUCGCAAGACCUGGCGCUUGAAGAGGGGCCCGCGCCUGAUUAGCUAGUUGGUGAGGUAACGGCUCACCAAGGCAUCGAUCAGUAUCCGGCCUGAGAGGGCGGACGGACACACUGGGACUGAGACACGGCCCAGACUCCUACGGGAGGCAGCAGUGGGGAAUUGUUCGCAAUGGGCGCAAGCCUGACGACGCAACGCCGCGUGGAGGAUGAAGAUCUUCGGGUCGUAAACUCCUUUCGAUCGAGACGAACGGCUUCCGGGUGAACAAUCCGGGAGAGUGACGGUACCGAGAGAAGAAGCCCCGGCUAACUCCGUGCCAGCAGCCGCGGUAAUACGGGGGGGGCAAGCGUUGUUCGGAAUUACUGGGCGUAAAGGGCUCGUAGGCGGCCAACUAAGUCAUACGUGAAAUCCCUCGGCUUAACCGGGGAACUGCGUCUGAUACUGGAUGGCUUGAGAUUGGGAGAGGGAUGCGGAAUUCCAGGUGUAGCGGUGAAAUGCGUAGAUAUCUGGAGGAACACCGGUGGCGAAGGCGGCAUCCUGGACCAACACUGACGCUGAGGAGCGAAAGCCAGGGGAGCAAACGGGAUUAGAUACCCCGGUAGUCCUGGCCCUAAACGAUGAAUGCUUGGUGUGGCGGGUAUCGAUCCCUGCCGUGCCGAAGCUAACGCAUUAAGCAUU